GCAGGGGUUCCCAAGCCAGGCCAAAGGGGGCGGACUUAAGAUCCGCUGACGAAGGUCUUCGUGGGUUCAAAUCCCACCCCCUGCACCA
rnacentral:tRNA from 1 species